ACGGAGGUGGCAAGCGUUGUCCGGAUUUACUGGGCGUAAAGGGUGCGUAGGCGGAUUUUUAAGUCAGAGGUGAAAUCCCCGAGCUUAACUUGGGUGCUGCAUUUGAAACUGAAGUUCUAGAGUGCGGGAGAGGAGAGUGGAAUUCCUAGUGUAGCGGUGAAAUGCGUAGAUAUUACGAAGAACACCAGUGGCGAAGGCGACUCACUGGACAGUAACUGACGCUGAGGCACGAAAGCGUGGGGAUCAAACAG
rnacentral:rRNA from 1 species